GGAGGGGUGUCCGAGCGGUUUAAGGAGCUGGUCUUGAAAACCAGUGUCUCGAAAGAGCCGUGGGUUCGAAUCCCACCCCCGACCG
rnacentral:tRNA from 1 species